GCUCUCAAGCGAAAGACUGGCCAAGACGUGGAUGAAAAAUCCGAGGAAGCCUCAACAGAUAAAGAUAUGGCCGAGAAUGGUACCAAUGAAAACUUCCAAAAUACAGAUGUCUCUCCAUCG
rnacentral:ribozyme from 1 species